UACAGUGGCGUACGGGUGAGUAACACGUGGAUUAUCUGCCCUGGAGUGGGGAAUAACGCUGGGAAACCGGCGCUAAUACCGCAUAUUCCCGAGAGGGGAAAGCAGCAAUGCGCUCGAGGAGGAGUCCGCGGCCGAUUAGCUAGUUGGCAGGGUAAAAGCCUACCAAGGCUAUGAUCGGUAGCCGGCCUGAGAGGGCACACGGCCACACUGGCACUGAAACACGGGCCAG
rnacentral:rRNA from 1 species